rnacentral:lncRNA from 1 species
AGUAUAUGGAAUGGCUUACACUCGCCACAAAUUAAGUUACAAUCCACACAACAUUAUUUCAAACAUACACAAAAAUAGGGUCCGGCUACGGACAAGAUAAAUGCCAAAAUGCAAUGACUCUCUCUCGCUAGCCCAGAAGACAACCAAGACCCUCUAAUCAUCGGGGUACGUCACGUACAUGUGACCACUACCUUCAUCAAACUCCCACUGAAGCUACAUUGCGUCAAAUGUCGUAGGAUCUGUGGUACCUGGAACUGUGGUAUGGUAGUAAUCUGUGAGCCAUAGGAACUCAACAAUCUUGCGACAAUGAUAGCGGAACUAAUCAAGUUAUUUGGUUUGGUAAGUUUAAGUGUUGAGGUUGCAACAACACUAAGCAUGUAUGGUGGCUAACUUACGAGAACAUAAUGUAAAGUGAGUGGUCGACGCAUGACGAUCGUGAACUACAUAAUGAUUACUGAGUGAUCCUGAAAACCAACUUACGUCAAUCUUAACCCCACCGUGUCCUUGGUCGAAGAAGGAGCUCGUGAAAGAGACAAUCACGGUUAUGCACACAGUUGGUAGGUUUUAAUGAAAUUUACUUCAAUUUAUCUAGAACUGGGUCUUAAACAAAGGUGCCAAGUUCCCACAUGAUCAUGGGCACAACUUUCUGAAAGAUAUGAACCCUGCAGGGGUGCUCCAACUAGUCCAUCAGAAACUACCACAAGCUGCUCUAGAGAGAAAACCUCAAACUCGAGAAAGCCCAAAGUAUCAUUGAUAUCCCAGUGCACAAGCCAUUCGCCAAAAGUAAGACAAUUCUAGCAAGACUUCCUAGCAUGCCAGAUCCCGAUAGGACUCACGCAUAUCUCUUCUCAAAGCACUACCAUAUGAGCUAGACGUAGUGUUCGCUGAAACCCCGGGUGACCAUGGGGCGCUGGACAUCGCUCGGUUUGGACCAACACUCAUGAUGAGCAUUGGCCCUCGUUGUUGAUUAAUAAUCUACAGGGUGGCUAUUCCCUAUGCAUUUUUAUUAAGUUGUUUAGAAAAUUUAGUACCAUUGUUGGGCCUUGCCGGAAGAAUCUUAGCUCAAAGGGAAUUGUCAGGGGGGGUCCCCAUAACAACCCCAAGCGUGUUAGGAGCACUCAAUAUGGAACUUCACACCGAUAACCGAAACUUGGGCGGCAAAAGCAGAAAAAAACACCAAGCAAAAGGCGAAGCCUUCCGCACUUUACCAAGUAUAUAGGUGCAUUAAAUUAAAUAACAUAAAUAAUAUGAUAUUCAAAAGCCCAUGUUAUCACAUAGAUCAACAUGCACCUGGAACUAGCAAUGCUAUAAGAGGGUUGAGCAAGUGCUAUCUUAUACAAUCAAUAUUUGCUAGGUUGUGGAGGGGUUAGAGGCUUUUAAUGGCAAUGUUUGGAGGCUAUGUAUUCAUGUGGUAGGCAAUGAUGAAUAGUGAAGGAAAAUGUGUCAUCUAAGCACAACAAAAUUAGAAAGGAUAUCAAGGUCAAGGUGAUCUUGCAUUUUGGUUCUAUUGACGGGUACAACUCUUGCUCUUCAGGAACGUACUCAACAUGAUCCUCGCACUCGUUCUCAGCUCCUCAUGCUACCCAAAGAAAACUAGACAUCCAAUGAACACUUAUACGUCUCAAACAUAUCUAUAAUUUUUUAUGGUUUCACGCUGUUAUCUUGUCAACUUUGGAUGUUUUGUUUAACUUUUAUAUAUUUUUUGGGACUAACUUAUUAACUCAGUGCCAAGCGCCAGUUCCUGUUUUUUCUGCGUUUUUGACUCUUAUCAGAUCUAAUUCUGGAACGGAGUCCAAACGGAAUAAAAUCCCCAAAAUCAUUUUUUUCCUAAACGGAUGAAGAUCACGAGGCUUGAGGGCCAAGCAAGUGGGCCCACAGGGAGCCCACAAGCCCUGUUGCCGCAGCCAGGGGGAGGCCGCAGCAACCAAGCUUGUGGCCUCCCUGGCGCUCCCCUGCCCUAGGUCUUUGGCCUAUAAAUUCCCAAAAAAUAAAAAAAAAAUAGGGCGUCCACGAAAACAAUUUUCCGCCGCCGCAAGCUUUCAUUUCCGCGAGAUCUCAUUUGGAGAAUCUUCCCGGUGCCCUGUCAGAGGGGACUUUGGAGUUGGAGGGCUUCUUCAUCAACAUCAUCGCCCCUCCAAUGACUCGUGGGUAGUUCACUUCAGACCUACGGGUCCGUAGUUAGUACCUAGAUGGCUUCUUCUCUCUCUUGGAUCUUCAAUACAAAGUUCUCCANNNNNNNNNNNNNNNNNNNNNNNNNNNNNNNNNNNNNNNNNNNNNNNNNNNNNNNNNNNNNNNNNNNNNNNNNNNNNNNNNNNNNNNNNNNNNNNNNNNNNNNNNNNNNNNNNNNNNNNNNNNNNNNNNNNNNNNNNNNNNNNNNNNNNNNNNNNGGCGGUGUGUUUGUCGAGGUCCAAUGAAUUGUGGAUUUGUGAUCAGAUUAUCUAUGAUAUAUAUUUGAGUCUUUGCUGAUUUCUUAUAUGCAUGAUUUGAUAUCCUUGUAGGUCUCUCCGAGUCUUGGGUUUUGUUUGGCCAACUAGAACUAUGAUUCUUGCAAUGGGAGAAGUGCUUGGUUUUGGGUUCUUACCGUGUGGUGACCUUUCCCAAUGAUGUAGGGGCAGCAAGGCACACAUCGUGUAGUUGCCAUCAAGGGUAACAAGAUGGGCUUUGUCGUAGAUAUGAGAUUGUCCAUCUACAUCAUGUCAUCUUGCUUAAGGCGUUACUCUGUUCUAAUGAACUUAAUACACUAGAUGCAUGCUGGAUAGCGGUCGAUGUGUGGAGUAAUAGUAGUAGAUGCAGAAAGUAUCGGUCUACUUGUUUUGGACAUGAUGCCUAUAGAUAUAAUCAUUGCCAUAGAUGACGUCACGACUUUGCGCGGUUCUAUCAAUUUCUUGAGAGUAAUUUGUUCACCCACCGUCUACUUGCUUUCAUGAGAGAAGCCACUAGUGAACACUAUGGCCCCUGGGACUAUUCACACCUAUCGUUUACACCUCCGCUUUUACUUUGCUUUGUUACUUUGUUGCUUUCAGUUCUCACUUGGCAAACAAUCUAUAAGGGAUUGACAACCCCUUCAUAGCGUCGGGUGCAGGUUCUUUGUGUUUGUGGAGGUACUUGUGAUACUCCUUCACUGGAUCGAUACCUUGGUUCUCAAAACUGAGGGAAAUACUUACCACCAUUGCGCUACAUCACCCUUUCCGCUUCGAGGGAGCACCAACGCAAGGUUCCAAGGCCACGGGGAAAUCCUUUGCAUAUUUGCCUAGCAAGUCCCUAAAGGCGUAGCCGUAGCAGAAGGAUUCCUGGUACCGUUGCUGAGGAGAAUCAAGACAAGAACAGUCCCAUCAGCACGUGUUUCUGGCGCCGUUGGAAGGUCUUUUUUGCAUCAGCAGAAGUAUUUCUAGCGCCGUUGCCGGGGAAGGAGAGAUCUAUCCAAGUAGGUCUCACAAACUCAUCUCUUGCAUUUACUUUUUUUUGCCAGUUGCCUCUCGUUUUCCUCUUCCCCACUUCAUAUUUGUCGUUUUCAUUUGCCUUUCUCCUUUGCCUUUUUCCUUUGCCUUUUUCGUUUGCCUUUCCUUUGCUUGAGUGCCAUGUGCCCUCAAUAUGCUUUCAUCUUCGCUUGCUGAAAACCUAUUGAUAUGGAUCAUCAUCCACUAGCUAAUCUCUUUAGGAGAUCCACUUGUGUGGAACCAAUUGCUAGUGAGUUGAGUGCACUUGACUUUCUCUAUGGAGUUUUGCUUGAGAUGCGUGAAUCUGAAAAUCGCGAUGAAGAAAUUCAUGAAGUGGUUCACGAGGGCUCCUUGGAUGAAAAGCAUGAUUGCAAUGGUUUCAGUAUAAAUCCUAUUAGUGACAAUCAUGCUAAAAAUAUGCAAAACCCUAAGCUUGGGGAUGCUAGUUUUGCUAUGUCCCCUACUUGUUGCAAUAAUCAUGAUUGGGGUGAUGAUCUUUCUUAUGAUCUUGAAAAUUUGUUCAAACCUCAUGAUGAAUAUGAUAUUUGCAAUCAUAUUGAAAGUGGGUUUGGAGAAGUCAUGACUUUAGUUGGUGAUAAUCCCACUAUUUUUGAAGAGCGUCAACUUUGCAUGCAUGUGGAUCAUGAAAAGAAUAUCCUAUGUGAUACUUACAUUGUUGAAUUUGAAUAUGACCCCACAUGUAAUUGCUAUGAGAGAGGAAAAUAUUGUGGUAGAAACUUUCAUGUUACCAAUUUACCUCUCGUUAUGUGGAGAUUGCUAUUGUCUCUUUCUUCUUGCUUGCAUAUGGCAACUAUUGGUUGUCUUGACAAUCUGUUUUCCUAUAAAAUGCCUAUGCAUAGGAAGUAUGUUAGACUUAGAUGUGAUUUUCACAUGCUUUAUGAUUGUCUCGUUGUGCUUCAACUCUUGUCUUUUGUGUGAGCAUCAUUGAUGCCUAGCUAAGGGCGUUAAACAAUAGCGCUUGUUGGGAGGCAACCCAACGAAUCUAUCCUUUUUCUUUCUGUUUUGUGUUUUCCACACUUUCAUAAUUCUGUUAUGAUUGUGCUUUUUGUGUUUUUUGUGUUUCUUUUUGCGUUUGUGCCAAGAAAAACUGUUAUGAUUAGUCUUGGGGAUGAUCGUUUGGUCAUGCUGGAAAAGACAGAAACUUUCUGCUCACAGAAAGCAUUUUCAUUUUUUUUUCUGUAAGAGCUUUUGAGUUAAUUCUUUUUGCUGAUGAUUUAUACGCAAAUUCUUCAGACUGUCGUAAAUUUUCAAAAUUAUUGAAGUACCAGAAGUAUAGGAGGUAUACAUAUUGCUACAGACUGGUCUGCUGUUAACAGAUUCUGUUUUUGUUGUGUUGGUUGCUUAUUUUGAUGAAACUAUGGAUAGUAUCGGGGGGUAUUAGCCAUGGAAGAUUGAAAAUACAGUAACCCAACAUCAGCACAAGUAGAAUUCAAGUUUGCUACAGUACCUAAGGAAGUGGUGGUUUGCUUUCUUAUACUAAUGAUAUCACGAGUUCAGUUUAAGUUUCGUGUUGUGAAGUUUUCAAGUUUUGGGUGAAGUUCUUAUGGACAAAAGGAUAAAGAGUGGCAAGAGCUCAAGCUUGGGGAUGCCCAAGGCACCCCAAGAGAUUCAAGGAUGUCGUAAAAGCCUAAGCUUGGGGAUGCCCCGGGAAGGCAUCCCCUCUUUCGUCUUCAAUCCAUCGGUAACGUUACUUGGGGCUAUAUUUUUAUUCACCACAUGUUAUGUGUUUUGCUUGGAGCGUCUUGUAUCGUACGAGUAUUUUAUUUUUGUUGUGUCACAAUCAUCCUUGCUAUACACCUAGAGAGAGAGACAUGCACUCACCAUGAUUUUGUCGAGCUUCACUUAUAUCCUUUGGUUAGACAAUUCAGCUCACAUGUGCUUCACUUAUAUCUUUUGAGCUAGAUGCUUUUGCUCUAUGUGUUUCACUUAUACCUUUUAGAGCACGGCGGUGCGUGGCUUGGUAGUUGAUCUAUGCUAUGAAUGUAGUCUCAAAAGGGGUAGUUAUCCAAAGGGAUACGAAAACUUCCACCUUCAUGUGCAUUGAAUAGUUAGAGAAGUUUGAUUCAUCUCAACUAGUUUUGAGUUGUGGUUAUGGUAAUAUUGAAGUUAUACUAGUAAGGUGUUGUGGAUAUAUAAAUAGUUGUGUUGAAGUUAGUAAUUCCCGUAGCAUGCACGUAUGGUGAACCGGUAUGUGAUGAAGUCUGAGCAUGAUUAGUCUAUUGAUUGUCAUCCAUUGUGUGGCGGUCGAGAUCGCGCGAUGGUUUAUACCUACAAUCCUUCCCCUAGGAGUAUGCGUUGAAUGCUUUGUUUCGAUUACUAAUAAACUUUUGCAACAAGUAUAUGAGUUCUUCAUGACUAAUGUUGAGUCCAUGGUUUAGAUGCACUUUCACCUUCCACCAUCACUAUCUUCUUUAGUGCCGUGCAACUUUCGUCGGUGCACAAAACCCACCAUUAGCCUCCCUCAAAACAGCCACCAUACCUACCUACUAUGGCUUUUUCAAAGUCAUUCCAAGAUAUAUUGCCAUGCAAAUACCACCAUGACAUGUGCCACCACGUCUACAUUGCCAUUGCAUGAUCAUAAGAUAGCUAGCAUGAUGUUUCCAUUUAUGUCUAUGCCAUGCUAGAUCAUUGUCACGGUACACUACCGAAGGCAUUUCAUAUAGAGACAUCGUUGCUCUAAGUUUUGAAUUGUAAGUUUCAUGAUCAUCAUUGAUGGAGCAUUGUCCCAUGUGAGGAAAUAAAAGAGGCCAAAUAUGCCCACCAAAAAAAAGAGACGGCAAAGAGCCCAUUCAAGAAAAAAAAAGGAGAGAAGGGACAAUGCUACCACUUUUCCACACUUGUGCAUAUUAAGCACCAUGAUCUCAAUGAUUGAGAGUCUCUCGUUUUGUCACCACCAUAUAGCUAGUGCAAAAUUUUCAUUAUCUAACUUGGCUUGUAUAUUCCAAUGAUAGGUUUCCUCAAAAUUGCCUUAGGUCUUCGUGAGCAAGCAAGUUGGAUGCACACCCACUAGUUUUCUUUAAGAUCUUUCACAUACUCUUAGCUCUAGUGUAUCAUUUGUAUGGCAAUCCCUACCCAUUCACAUUGAUAUCUAUUGAUGAGCAUCUCCAUAGCUCAUUGAUAUGCCUAGUUAAUGUGACCAUCUUCUCCUUUUUUGUUUGUCUUGCAACCUCCACCACACUCCACACCACUUAUAGUGCUAAAACCAUGGCUCACGCUCAUGUAUUGUGUGAGAGUUGAAAAAGUUUGAGAAAGUAAAGGUGUGAAAACAAUUACUUGGCCAAUACCGGGGUUGUGCAUGAUUUAAAUUCGUUGUGCAAUGAUGAUAGAGCAUAGCUAGACUAUAUGAUUUUGUAGGGAUAACUUUCUUUUGGCCUUGUUAUUUUGAAAGUUCAUGAUUGCCUUGCUAGUUUGCUUGAAUUAUUAUUGUUUCCAUGUCAAUAGCAAACUAUUGUUUUGAAUCUAAUGGAUCUGAACAUUGACGUCACAUAAGAGGAGUUACAAAGGACAUCUGAUUUUGGAACGGAGUCCAAACGGAAUAAAAUCCCCAAAAUGAUUUUUUCUAGAACGGAAGAAGAUCAGGAGGCUUGAGGGCCAAGCAAGUGGCCCCACAGGGAGCCCACAAGCCCUGUUGCCGCGGCCAGGGGGGAGGCCGCGGCAACCAAGCUUGUGGCCUCCCUGGCACUCCCCUGCCCUAGGUCUUUGGCCUAUAAAUUCCCUAAAAAUCCAGAAAAAAUCAGGGCAUCCACGAAAACACUUUUCCGCCGCCGCAAGCUUCCGUUUCCGCAAGAUCUCAUCUAGAGACCCUUCCCGGUGCCUUGCCGGAGGGGACUUUGGAGUUGGAGGGCUUCUUCAUCAACAUCAUCGCCCCUCCAAUGACUCGUGAGUAGUUCAAUUCAGACCUACGGGUCCGUAGUUAGUAGCUAGAUGGCUUCUUCUCUCUCUUGGAUCUUCAAUACAAAGUUCUCCAUUAUCUUCAUGGAGAUCUAUCCGAUGUAAUCUUCUUUNNNNNNNNNNNNNNNNNNNNNNNNNNNNNNNNNNNNNNNNNNNNNNNNNNNNNNNNNNNNNNNNNNNNNNNNNNNNNNNNNNNNNNNNNNNNNNNNNNNNNNNNNNNNNNNNNNNNNNNNNNNNNNNNNNNNNNNNNNNNNNNNNNNNNNNNNNNNNNNNNNNNNNNNNNNNNNNNNNNNNNNNNNNNNNNNNNNNNNNNUUGCUGAUUUCUUAUAUGUAUGAUUUGAUAUCCUUGUAAGUCUCUCCGAGUCUUGGGUUUUGCUUGGCCAACUAGAUCUAUGAUUGUUGCAAUGGGAGAAGUGCUUGGUUUUGGGUUCUUACGGUGUGGUGACCUUUCCCAGUGACAGUAGGGGCAGCAAGGCACACAUCGUGUAGUUUCCAUCAAGGGUAACAAGAUGGGAUUUGUCAUAGAUAUGAGAUUGUCCAUCUACAUCAUGUCAUCUUGCUUAAGGCGUUACUAUGUUCUCAUGAACUUAGUACACUAGAUGCAUGCUGGAUAGCGGUCGACGUGUGGAGUAAUAGUGGUAGAUGCAGAAAGUAUCGGUCUACUUGUCUUGGACGUGAUGCCUAUAGAUAUAAUCAUUGCCAUAGAUGACAUCACGACUUUGCGCGGUUCUGUCAAUUUCUCGACAGUAAUUUGUUCACCCACCGCCUACUUGCUUUCAUGAGAGAAGCCACUAGUGAACACUACGCCCCCCGGGUCUAUUCACACCUAUCGUUUACACCUCCGCUUUUACUUUACUUUGUUACUUUGUUGCUUUCAGUUCUCACUUGGCAAACAAUCUAUAAGGGAUUGACAACCCCUUCAUAUCGUUGGGUGAAGGUUCUUUGUGUUUGUGCAGGUACUUGUGAUACUCCUUCACUGGAUCUAUACCUUGGUUCUCAAAACUGAGGGAAAUACUUACCACCGCUCCACUACAUCACCCUUUUCGCUUCGAGGGAACACCAAUGCCAGGCUCCAAGGCCACGGGGAAAUCCUUUGCAUAUUUGCCUAGGAAGUCCCUAAAGACGUAGCCGUAGUAGAAGGAUUCCUAGUGCCGUUGCUGAGGAGAAUCAAGACAAGAAUAGUCUCCUGUCAGCACGUGUUUCUCGCGCCGUUGGAAGGUCUUUUGUUGCAUCAGCAAACACCAGGCAAGGUGCAAUGCUUCAAACAACCAUGAUGCAUGAGUGUAGUUAUGAAAGAAGCAUGGCAAUGCUAACUAGUCAUCUUAGUCAUGCAUUUAUGAAGUUAUUUAGCAUUUUGGAUAGAGCCUCAAGUUUAUUCAUUUGGGCAUGCAUGAACAUGGAAGAAAUGGAUGCAUCAUGAGAAAAUGGUGCAAAAAUAUAUAAGGAACUUCGCAAAACGAGCUACAGAUCCCUCAGAAUUCACCAAACAAGAUACAUAUGGCAACAAUGACUAAAAAGAAUUUCAGAGGUGUCUAUGGGCAUUUUCUUAGCACUCCAAGUAAGCCACUGGAUUGCGCACGAAAUUCCAGGUGGUAUAGAUCUAAAGAUCACGUGAAACACUUGAGGAUAACUCACACAAAGCACAAAACAAUUUAGCAACCAAUUUGUCCACAAGCAGCCACAUACCACUUUGAUCAUGUGAAAACUAGUACCUAGAGCCACUUAACAAUUUUAACGAAGACAUGAAUAUGAAGCUAUCAAAGUUCACAAUAAUCUCUAACUAACAACAACAUUGAUAGGUUCAUGAAACAAUGGCAAACAAGUCCUCAACAUGGCAAGAAACAAUACAAAUUAUGACUUAGUGAAAAUGUCACUUUGCACUUGCAGUUUAUAACCUGGUGGCAUUUUGACAGCAAUAAAACUCUACUCUACAGCAAGUUUCAUGGCAUGUAGUUUAAUAGGGUGACAGAGGGCAAAAACUACUACAAAUGACUCUCACUAUGUAGGAGCUGAAACUGCAUAGAAUCCAUGGUAGCAUCCCCUAAACAUGCCAUGGAAAUAACAGUAGAUUUCCAGACUUAGUCAAAUUUCAUCAACGGAAUCCACAACAGCUUAUAACAUCAUAGCAUAUUUGAGAGGAAGAAACUCUAAGAUACAAAACCUACUUGGCAAGGUGGUGGCCCCAUUUGAUAGAAGGCAACAAGCACUAUGAUACAUGGCACUGGACCAACCACAAAAGGAUCAACAGACCCAUGGGAAUCAUCAAGACAACAUAGCAACAAAAUAACCAGAUUCUAUACUUAGAAAUAUUUGAGCAUGCGACACAUCAACAUUUUCUUAUCAUGUUUAUAGCAAGAAACCAACUAAUCCACAAGCUUAUCAUGACAAAUAAAAUUAUCAGGGCAUAUUACCCUCAAAACUCUACCACAAUCAUGUUGACAAGUUUACCAAAUAUUGAACGGAUUAGAUCAUGCAAAAAUAACAAAAUGUCUCCUUGAGACAAAAUAACAUUUCCCCAAAGUUGCUCCAAUGGGAAAACUAACGACCCCAUUGGAUUCCUGGGAUUUGUCUACCCCAAAAUCAUAUGUCAUACCCAUAUGCUUCUCUAGAAACAUACCCCACAAAUCAAUUCGAAAAAUUGCCCCUAUCAUAUAGCACUAGUUAUAAACCAAAUUCGGACUAUCCCUAUUUGGACAUACCAAAAUUUGGACUUGCCCUAAACAGAAAGAAAAACAAACAGAGGUAAUUACUCUACAAAAAAUUACUCCCUCCGUUCCUAAAUAUAAGUAUUUUAAGCGAUUUCAAUAGGUGUCUACAUACGGAGUAAAAUGAUUGAAUGUACACUCUAAAGUAUGUCUAUAUACAUUCGUAUUUAGUGUAUUAGUGAAAUCUCUACAAAGACUUAUAUUUAGGAAGGGAGAGAGUAAAACAAAGGGGGGCACCUGGCAUAGACACCACGGCCCCCCACGGAUCACAUGUGGCCCCAGGACUCGUGUCUCCAUGGGUGAGCUCGUAGGGCGCUACCACUAGGCUAGACUCUGGGUUGCUGAACAAGGGGGAGCGCCACCCGAGUCAUCCUUCAGAAAUGCGUUGCCUUUCCUCUGCCCUGCAGCACAGAGGCACUUGACGUCGUCGGCGCGGCCUCUGACUACUAACGGGGUGCACAAGCAGCUGCGGGGACGUGGUGCACUACGGGGAAUCCAUUCCUGGGGCUUUUUAGUGGAUACGCGUGCAACCUCGAGGCGCUCAAGCACAAGCCACCGGUGGCGAGGGGCGGCUGCAGGCUACGACAGCGAGGCGCAAUUGCUGCUAACGAAGCGAGGCGCGGCUUCUACUAAUGACGGCCAUGAGCGGCUACUGACGACAGAAAAGAACGAGGGGGAGGCGGUUUCUCACCCCGCUUUGUUGGAGACGGCGAGGAGGAAGCCGGUGCGAUGGAGCGGAAGCAGAGGGGGUGCACGACACGUCUGAGAGGAAGGAGGGGGUGCGCGUCCUUGCGAUCCGGCUCGGAGAAGACUCGAACAGGCACCCCUUGGCGACGCAUGCCACCAGGAUCACGCAGGGACGGUGAUUGGGCUCAGCCUGAGCUCGAGCUCACGUUCUCUUGGGGCUUGGCGACAGCUGCGACCAUCGGCGGCAGGAGAGGGAGGAGAAGAG